rnacentral:rRNA from 1 species
AGUGAACGCUGGCGGUAGGCCUAACACAUGCAAGUCGAACGGCAGCACAGUAAGAGCUUGCUCUUACGGGUGGCGAGUGGCGGACGGGUGAGGAAUACAUCGGAAUCUACUUUUUCGUGGGGGAUAACGUAGGGAAACUUACGCUAAUACCGCAUACGACCUACGGGUGAAAGCAGUGGAUCUUCGGACCUUGCGCGAUUGAAUGAGCCGAUGUCGGAUUAGCUAGUUGGCGGGGUAAAGGCCCACCAAGGCGACGAUCCGUAGCUGGUCUGAGAGGAUGAUCAGCCACACUGGAACUGAGACACGGUCCAGACUCCUACGGGAGGCAGCAGUGGGGAAUAUUGGACAAUGGGCGCAAGCCUGAUCCAGCCAUACCGCGUGGGUGAAGAAGGCCUUCGGGUUGUAAAGCCCUUUUGUUGGGAAAGAAAAGCAGCAGGUUAAUACCCCGCUGUUCUGACGGUACCCAAAGAAUAAGCACCGGCAAACUUCGU